UACGUAGGGUGCAAGCGUUGUCCGGAAUUAUUGGGCGUAAAGAGCUCGUAGGCGGUUUGUUGCGUCGGCUGUGAAAUCCCGAGGCUCAACCUCGGGUCUGCAGUCGAUACGAGCAAACUAGAGUGUUGCAGGGGAGACUGGAAUUCCUGGUGUAGCGGUGAAAUGCGCAGAUAUCGUAAGGAAGACCAGUGGCGAAGGCGGGUCUCUGGACAGUUCCUGACGCUG
rnacentral:rRNA from 1 species